rnacentral:lncRNA from 1 species
GACUCACGGCGACUACGGCGCGGAAAGCGCGGUCUGGACUCGGUGACGCCCCGCAGGGCCUCCGGAAUCUCCUGGGAAAAUCACAUAGGGGCGGCACUAGGCACAAGGCCCGAGGCUGAGGCCAGGGCCGCUCCUGCUCCCCCGCGCAGCCAUACCCGUACCAGGCCUCACCUGCACCAGGCGCUUGGGGAAGCGACCGCGGCGGCCCCGCAACUCCCCAAGCAGCCAGCCCCGAGCGGGCCCCGCGCACACCUGCCGGAUCACGUCCCCCGGAGCCAGACUCAGCUCGUCCUCCGUCUGCGCUCGGUAUCUGGCCAGGACCAGGACCUCUACGGGCGGAAGCGAGCUAAGAAAGGCUGUGGGGACGUCCGUGGACUUUGCCCUUCGGAAAGUGUUUAGAAGAACCCACCCCGAACCCCCACACACAUACCCAUGACUUCUGGGGCUCCCUGCGCAGCCUGACCGUCAGGCUGGGCAUUGGGUGCUCGGAGGGCGGGCGAAGCCGCCAGGCGGUAGACUGGAUGUGGAUGAGGCGGAGACUCGAGUCAUAGGUCAGGAUCCAGGUAGUAGGAGUGGGCGGCCUGGCUCAGCAGGUUGGGCCCCAAUUCUUGAAGGAGGAGUCCAGGGUCUCAGCCCAGGGCUGGGGUAACAGCUUCCCCAAGAGCUCUACUUUAGCCAAGUCUCCCAACCUAGGCCAGACUCUAUGUCUUUUAUAACAUUUCCUGGCCCACCCUCUUCUGGCUUGCAAGUUCUUAGCUGCAGGGGAAGGUGGAAGAGGUACAUACCAGGGUGGGGCCAUUCCUGGGAAAGUGGCCCCAGAUAGAGAUACUAGCUCCUGUCUCUGAAAAGCUAUGGCGGGUAUAUUCCAAACUUCAACCCCCCCUGAAGCUUCGACUCACUUGGGGGCCUAGUUGGAUUUCUGAUAACUACUGCAGAUUCUCCUUGGGGAAAGGCAGCAAGAAUCAACUUUUAAUAAGGGCUGGCAAGAGUCUGAAGGUUAGGGUCCACCCAGUUUACCAGUUGGGCUAGGCUCACCUCUUCCUUGUGGGUUAACAUAUAAAGGCCGAGCCAGCUCACUGCAGCCUUGACCCCUGCCCCAGCACCAAGGAAGCCAAAGUCCUGACUUCUGGCAUGGUAGCUAGGUUUGGUUCUUGGAGGAGUCAAAAACACAGAAUGCACAGCCUCCACUGAGAACAAGAAGUCCUUCUUCCCAGAGACGAAAACUAUGGUAUAUUCUAUGGGACCUAUUAACCCAGGGUCACUCACACAAGCAACAAACACAGUCCGUUUACAUCUGCCACUUCAUUUAUUGUUUUUAUUUGCAGGAGGAGUUGAAACAAAAAUUUAAGGGUGUUUUUUUGUUCUCCCCUAAACAUGAAUCAUUCAAGUAAAACCAACAUAACUAUUGAAAUUAGCAAAGUAAAGGGAAGUAUGCACAACAACCCAAGAGCGAAGGCUGGGGAGGGAGGAGGGUGCAGUCGGCGUCCAACAGAUGCGCGCAGGCAGCGGUUCACCUGCUGGGGACCGCUGCCCCGGAAGGCAAGCACAAGGACCCUUUAAUGAGGAUGCCCCCCAACAUCUGAAAAUGUUUCAACCCAAAACGUAAGGUUAAAGAG